GGUCUGGUAGUUCAGUUGGUUAGAAUGCCGCCCUGUCACGGCGGAGGUCGCGGGUUCGAGUCCCGUCCAGACCGC
rnacentral:tRNA from 5 species